AAAUGUGGAUUAAAGGGUGCUAUACUCUGUUCCACAUAAAGGUGAUAGUAGAUUGCAUAUUCCUCGCCACAGAACAAAGCAUGCCGGACCUUUUUUGUUGUAGAAUGCUCUGCCUGGGCCCUAGCGCCUACCCAGCCCUGCUCUCCCCAUUCAUUUGAAAGCAAAAAAUACAUUUUUGGCAUAAAUGCUCUUGU